GCGCCGAUGGUCUAGUGGUUAUGACUUGGGCCUUCCAAGCAAAACCCGGGUUCGAAUCCCGGUCGGCGCA
rnacentral:tRNA from 1 species